AAAUUUUAUUCCACAAGAAAAAGAUUUGUUAGUUUCUUUGGUUGAAAAGCAUUCUUCAGUUGUGGAAUCCAAAGAAACUAACGCCAUUACAUGGGUCAAAGAAAAAAAAUCAAAUGUGGGAUGUAAUAGCAGAAGAAUUUGGAAAACAGUGCCAAACACACAGGACCGAAAAAAAAUUUAAAAGAUAAGUACGAAAAUAUAAAAAAAAGAAACCAAAAUUGCCUUAGCAGCAGAAAAAAGAAAAACCUAUAUGACUGGAGGAGGCUCAUCUGCAACGGGAUUAAGUAAUAAUGUCGAUUCAGAUAAAGAAAUUGCCAACAUCAAAUCAAAUUAUAGAUCAAGUAGAAAUUGAUUUCGUUUCAUUAGUAGAAGAUGAUUGCGAAGAAGGGCUUAAGGAGAGCAAACUUGAAAAGACAAAUCAUUAAAUUUUAUUCCACAAGAAAAGAUUUGUUAGUUUCUUUGGUUGAAAAGCAUUCUUCAGUUGUGGAAUCCAAAGAAACUAACGCCAUUACAUGGGUCAAAGAAAAAAAAAUCAAAUGUGGG